GUGAGUCAGUGGCGUACGGCCGAGUGACACGUUACUACCUACCCUCGAGUGGGGGAUAACCCCGGGAAACCGGGGCUAAUACCGCAUAACAUCGCAAGAUCAAAGGAGCAAUUCGCUUGAGGAGGGGGUCGCGGCCGAUUAGCUAGUUGGUGAGGUAACGGCCCACCAAGGCGAUGAUCGGUAGCCGGCCUGAGAGGGCGCACGGCCACACUGGAACUGAAACACGGUCCAGACUCCUACGGGAGGCAGCAGUGGGGAAUUUUGCGCAAUGGGGGAAACCCUGACGCAGCAACGCCGCGUGGAGGAUGAAGUCCCUUGGGACGUAAACUCCUUUCGACCCGGACGAUAAUGACGGUACGGGUGGAAGAAGCACCGGCUAUCUUCGUGCCUGCAGCCGCGGUAAU
rnacentral:rRNA from 1 species